rnacentral:rRNA from 1 species
GAUAAACGCUGGCGGCGUGCUUAACACAUGCAAGUCGAACGGAGUAUUCCUCCCGAGACCGAGGAAGCUUGCUUCUGAAGAAUCAAUUGGAAUACUUAGUGGCGGACGGGUGAGUAACGCGUGGGUAACCUGCCUCACACAGGGGGAUAACAGUUGGAAACGACUGUUAAUACCGCAUAAGCGCACAGUAUCGCAUGGUACGGUGUGAAAAACUCCGGUGGUGUGAGAUGGACCCGCGUCUGAUUAGCUAGUUGGCAGGGUAACGGCCUACCAAAGCAACGAUCAGUAGCCGACUUGAGAGAGUGAUCGGCCACAUUGGGACUGAGACACGGCCCAGACUCC